rnacentral:rRNA from 1 species
AACGAACGCUGGCGGCAUGCCUAACACAUGCAAGUCGAACGAGACCUUCGGGUCUAGUGGCGCACGGGUGCGUAACGCGUGGGAAUCUGCCCUUGGGUUCGGAAUAACAGUUAGAAAUGACUGCUAAUACCGGAUAAUGUCUUCGGACCAAAGAUUUAUCGCCCAGGGAUGAGCCCGCGUAGGAUUAGCUAGUUGGUGAGGUAAAGGCUCACCAAGGCGACGAUCCUUAGCUGGUCUGAGAGGAUGAUCAGCCACACUGGGACUGAGACACGGCCCAGACUCCUACGGGAGGCAGCAGUGGGGAAUAUUGGACAAUGGCGAAAGCCUGAUCCAGCAAUGCCGCGUGAGUGAUGAAGGCCUUAGGGUUGUAAAGCUCUUUUACCCGGGAUGAUAAUGACGGUACCGGGAGGAAUAAGCCCCGGCUAACUCCGUGCCAGCAGCCGCGGUAAU